rnacentral:rRNA from 1 species
UCAAGCGAACAAGGGCGCAGGGCGAAUGCCUUGGCACUGGGAGCCGAUGAAAGACGUGAUAAGCUGCGAUAAGCUUCGGGGAGCUGCAAAUAAGCAUUGAUCCGGAGAUUUCUGAAUGAGGAAACUCACCUGGGUUCAUACUCAGGUACGUUGUACUGAAAUUCAAAAUAGGUACAUCGGGGGAACCGCCUGAACUGAAACAUCUAAGUAGGGCGAGGAAGAGACAUCAAACGAGAUUCCGUAAGUAGUGGCGAGCGAACGCGGAAGAGGGCAAACCGAAGGUAGAAAUACCUUCGGGGUACGGACUGCUUUUAGGACUCGAUCUGUUAACCGAACGGCAUGGGAAGGCCGGUCAGAGAGUGUGAGAACCACGUAGGUGAAAACGGAGAGAGCUGCGCAGAUUCCAGAGUACGGCCAGACACGUGAAACCUGGUCGGAAGAUGGGGGGACCACCCUCCAACCCUAAAUACUACCCAGUGACCGAUAGCGUAUAGUACUGUGAAGGAAAGGUGAAAAGCACCCCGGGAGGGGAGUGAAAAAGAACCUGAAACCCUGUGCCUACAAGCACCUAGAGCACGUCAAUGUGUGAUAGGGUACUUUUUGUAGAACGGUCCGGCGAGCGAUUGUAUGCAGCAAGGUUAAGGACUUAAGGUCUGGAGCCGAAGCGAAAGCGAGUUUGAAAAGGGCGUUAAGUUGCAUAUAAUGGGCCCGAAACCGGGUGACCUACCCAUGGUCAGGUUGAAGUGGAAGUAAAAUUCCAUGGAGGACCGAACCGACCUCCGUUGAAAAGGCGGCGGAUGAACUGUGGGUAGCGGAGAAAUUCCAAUCGAACCCGGAGAUAGCUGGUUCUCCCCGAAAUAGUUUUAGGACUAGCCUCAAGUUAGAUACCUGGAGGUAAAGCACUGAAUAGCCUAGCGGCCGAGAGGUUAGCGAAGCUUAUCAAACUCAGAAUGCCAGAGUAUUGAUGCUUGGGAGUCAGACAGUGUCAGAUAAAUGUCAUUGUCAAAAGGGAAACAGCCCAGAUCUACAGCUAAGGUCCCAAAGUCAGGUUAAGUGGAAAACGAUGUGAAGAUACGCAGACAACCAGGAUGUUGGCUCAGAAGCAGCCACUCAUUCAAAGAGUGCGUAAUAGCUCACUGGUCGAGCGUCUUUGCGCGGAGAAUUUAACGGGGCUAAACCUGACACCGAAGCUUAGGCAAUCCAGCAAUGGAUUGGGUAGGGGAGCGUUGUAUACGCGGAGAAACAGUAGCGUAAGCGGCUGUGGAGUGUAUAGAAGUGAGAAUGCCGGAAUGAGUAGCGCGAAUGCAGUGAGAAUCUGCAUGGCCGAAAGCCUCAGGUUUUUGGAGGAAGGUUCGUCCGCUCCAAGUUAGUCGGGAGCUAAGGUGAGGCCGGAAGGCGUAGCCGAUGCACAGACGGUAGAGAUUCCGUCACCACCAAAAGAGUUAAGCACAGGGACACAUUUGAAGUCUCAGAGCCGGGUGUUGGUUCCGGUAGAGAUCGAGGGAAGUUAGUACCGAAGUCUGGGAUGGAGGAUGGCGAGAAAAGCUGUGUGUAUUUCUGAGGUGCCCGUACCGCAAACCGACACAGGUAGGUAGGAAGAAGAUUCUAAGGCCAACGGGAGAAGGGUUGUUAAGGAACUCGGCAAAUUGACCCCGUAACUUCGGGAGAAGGGGUGCUCCAGAGAUGGAGCCGCAGAGAAUCGGCCCAAGCAACUGUUUACCAAAAACACAGGUUUGUGCUAAAUCGAAAGAUGACGUAUACGAGCUGACGCCUGCCCGGUGCUGGAAGGUUAAGAGGAGAUGUGCAAGCAUUGAAUCGAAGCCCCAGUGAACGGCGGCCGUAACUAUAACGGUCCUAAGGUAGCGAAAUUCCUUGUCAGGUAAGUUCUGACCCG